rnacentral:rRNA from 1 species
UACAGAGGUCCCAAGCGUUGUUCGGAUUCAUUGGGCGUAAAGGGUGCGUAGGCGGGUCUUUUAAGUCAGGGGUGAAAUCCUGGAGCUCAACUCCAGAACUGCCUUUGAUACUGAGGAUCUUUGAGUUCGGGAGAGGUGAGUGGAACUGCGAGUGUAGAGGUGAAAUUCGAUAGAUAUUCGCGAAGAACACCAGUGGCGAAGGCGGGUCUCUGGACAGUUCCUGACGCUGAGGCACGAAGGCCAGGGGAGCAAACGGG